rnacentral:lncRNA from 1 species
AAUCACAUUUCUCCCAGGAUGACAUUUGUUUGCUCAUAAUGUAUAACCAAGGAUACACACACACACACACACACGCACACACCAGAGCUUAAGAUCCACAUGGAAUAACAGACUUCUUGUUCUGAGUUGAGUUGAUAUCAUUUCAUUCUAAAGCAGAGAGAUUUGAUGGUUUUGAGAUCUUGAUGUUUUAGGUAGUCCAUCACAGCUUUGUGCCGGGGCAGGACACGUUCCAAGGUAGCAACAGCAGAGGAGCCUUGCCAAUUGCCUGUUAAAUUGACUGGUAGGAAAGCUUCUGAUUGUCUCCUCAAUACCACGACACUAGUAAUAUUUAAAUUAGAUAUAUUGUAAUUAGAGCUACAAGAGGCAAACCAAGCCUGUCCCUGUACUUUGGUCACAAGCGUGGAGUUUUGGGUGUAACAGAAAUGGC